rnacentral:rRNA from 1 species
UAGAGUUUGACCCUGGCUCAGAUUGAACGCUGGCGGCAGGCCUAACACAUGCAAGUCGAGCGGUAGCACAAGAAAGCUUGCUCUCUGGGUGACGAGCGGCGGACGGGUGAGUAAUGUCUGGGAAACUGCCUGAUGGCGGGGGAUAACUAGUGGAAACGGUAUCUAAUACCGCAUAACGUCGCAAGACCAAAGUGGGGGACCUUCGGGCCUCACGCCAUCAGAUGUGCCCAGGUGGGAUUAGCUGGUAGGUGGGGUAACGGCUCACCUAGGCGACGAUCCCUAGCUGGUCUGAGAGGAUGACCAGCCACACUGGAACUGAGACACGGUCCAGACUCCUACGGGAGGCAGCAGUGGGGAAUAUUGCACAAUGGGCGCAAGCCUGAUGCAGCCAUGCCGCGUGUGUGAAGAAGGCCUUCGGGUUGUAAAGCACUUUCAGCGAGGAGGAAGGGUAAUGUGUUAAUAAGACAUUGC